rnacentral:rRNA from 1 species
UACGUAGGGCGCAAGCGUUGUCCGGAAUUAUUGGGCGUAAAGAGCUCGUAGGCGGCCUGUUACGUCUGCUGUGAAAUCCCGGGGCUUAACCCCGGGCGUGCAGUGGAUACGGGCAGGCUGGAGGCAGGCAGGGGAGAACGGAAUUCCCGGUGUAGCGGUGAAAUGCGCAGAUAUCGGGAGGAACACCGGUGGCGAAGGCGGUCUCUGGGCCUGUACUGACGCUGAGGAGCGAAAGCGUGGGGAGCGAACAGG